AUUGAACGCUGGCGGCAGGCCUAACACAUGCAAGUCGAGCGGAGCGGCGGACGGGGGGGUAAUGCCUAGGAAUCUGCCUGGUAGUGGGGGAUACCGUCCGGAAACGGGCGCUAAUACCGCAUACUAUCAGAUGAGCCUAGGUCGGAUUAGCUUGUAGGUGAGGGAACGGGUCACCUAGGCGACGAUCCCUAGCUGGUCUGAGAGGAUGAUCAGCCACACUGGGACUGAGACACGGCCCAGACUCCUACGGGAGGCAGCAGUGGGGAAUAUUGCACAAUGGGCGCAAGCCUGAUGCAGCCAUGCCGCGUGUAUGAAGAAGGGCUUCGGGUUGUAAAGUACUUUCAGUCGGGAGGCGUUACCGACAGAAGAAGCCCCGGCUAACUCCGUGCCAGCAGCCGCGGUAAUAC
rnacentral:rRNA from 1 species